rnacentral:rRNA from 1 species
UACGUAGGGGGCAAGCGUUGUCCGGAAUCAUUGGGCGUAAAGAGCGUGUAGGCGGCCAGAAAAGUCCGCUGUGAAAACUCGAGGCUCAACUUCGAGCUGUCGGUGGAAACUUUCUGGCUAGAGUCCGGAAGAGGCGAGUGGAAUUCCUGGUGUAGCGGUGAAAUGCGCAGAUAUCAGGAGGAACACCUAUUGCGAAGGCAGCUCGCUGGGACGUAACUGACGCUGAGACGCGAAAGCGUGGGGAGCAAACAGG